AUAAAGAUUAUGGCGCAGGGCCGAUUAUUGAAAAGCUCAAUAUUCAUUGCUUUUGAUCAGGGGGUGCCGUGUGAAUUCAUGGUGCAAAUAGGAAAAUAUUAGGUCAAGGGAGGCAAAGCCCACUCCAUACAAAUGGAAAAGAGGGAAGGAAAGACACACUCAAAUUAAUUCCAAACUUUAACAAAAAAAUGUGCGCUUAAGACAAAGCCAAGUCUCACACAUUCUGACCUGAGCCAUCACUGUCUCUGUAGUGCCGAAGGUCACCUCCGGCGGAGGGCCAACCACUGAAAAUCAUGUACCAUCAUUUUCGUUUCAAUGUGCUUUAUUCGAAUCCACAAGUAAUUUCCCUGAAUUCUAAUCUUAAGGCCUAAAUUGAGUUGAAACAUCUCAAGAACCCUAGGUAAAUAAACUUAAAUUAAAUUGUAACCAUGCUCUGAGUCAAUCAGCAACCAAGGGGUUAAUGAUCUACUACCCUCAACCAACCAACCGGUAAAAAUAAUUUGAAGAAACUGAGUGAAAUCGUAUGAGCUCAUCGGAGCAAUUCGAAGUUGAAAAUGCGUAACCAGCAAGAAUAUUUUGCAAGGAUGAAACAUGUGUGCUUGGCAUUGACCAUGAUUGAAGCUUGGCAUGGAGGUUCAUGAUGGGAAUUUGAAGAAAUCCAAAGUUGUUUGCACAUGAAGAAAGUGCUUGGUCAUGGAAUCAAAUGGAAUGAAUGCAAGAAAAUUAAGAAUCAAUAGGUCAUUAGGGUUAGGAAUGUAGAAUUUAGGUCAGUGGACUUUGGUCAACUUGUUGACAAAAAAGUCAACAGUUGACCAGAAGUCAACUAUAGGUCAAACUUCAAUUUUUUGUAAUUAUGUAUGGAACUUUGUAAAUUGACUUGUAAGAUUGAAUGGACAACUUUGAAUAGAAAUCACCCUUUUAUGAUUUAA